UAAUAAGAAAUAAAAUUUAUAUUUAGUUUCGACCUAACAUCAGGAUACGUCCCUUAUUUU
rnacentral:tRNA from 2 species